GCUAUUGGCGCGAUGGCUCCACUCCGACUCCAUCCCGAACUCGGUUGUGAAACGUUGCUGCGGCGAAGAUACUUUGGGGGUUGCCCCACGGGAAAAUAGCUCGGUGCCAGGU
rnacentral:rRNA from 1 species